UACAGAGGUCUCAAGCGUUUGUUCGGAUUCAUUGGGCGUAAAGGGUGUGUAGGUGGCGCCGUAAGUCGGGUGUGAAAUUUCGGAGCUUAACUCCGAAACUGCAUUCGAUACUGCGGUGCUUGAGGACUGGAGAGGAGACUGGAAAUUCAUGGUGUAGCAGUGAAAUGCGUAGAGAUCAUGAGGAAGACCAGUGGCGAAGGCAGGUCUCUGGACAGUUCCUGACACUGAGACACGAAGGCCAGGGGAGCAAACGGG
rnacentral:rRNA from 1 species